UACGAAGGACCCAAGCGUUAUCCGGAUUUAUUGGUUUAAAGGGUGCGUAGGCGGGUUAUUAAGUCAGUGGUGAAAGCCUACAGCUUAACUGUAGAAUUGCCAUUGAUACUGAUGAUCUUGAGUAUGAUUGAGGUGGGCGGAAUGUGUCAUGUAGCGGUGAAAUGCUUAGAUAUGACACAGAACACCGAUUGCGAAGGCAGCUCACUAAGCCAUAACUGACGCUGAUGCACGAAAGCGUGGGGAGCAAACAGG
rnacentral:rRNA from 1 species